rnacentral:precursor_RNA from 8 species
UUAAGGUUUCAAAUACUCGCUAAUACUAGUAAUGGAAAUACUCGCUGAUACUGCAAGAAUUGUGGCAUCGGUAUAAGCCAGUAUUUCCGAUACUAGUAUUGGUAUACUAGGAUGGUAUACAAC